rnacentral:lncRNA from 1 species
CCAGUAAUAUCUCACAGGAGAUAUUCAAAUAAGGAAAAUCCACCACACAACUCUCUCUACAUUUCACAAACCAAAUCACAGAGGGAAGUGCUGCACCCUUGUCUACAGAAUGUUCAAGCAAAAAUCUGCUCACUUCUAGUCACCACGACACGAAUGGCUGGGUCCUGGUAUCUCAAAACACGUAUCUUUACCAUUGAAUCCACCAUAGGCGUGUGUUAUAUAACUUGCACUCAUGAUUAGACAUCAUUCAGUAAACAUCCACUAUGUUCAAUACUGGGCAAGGUGCUUUAUCUGUAUUUUCCCACUGAAGUAAGUAUUAAAUGACACCGCCACCUCCACCCCACCCCAUCAUUUUCCACAAAAGCAAACAGCCUAAUCACUUGCAUUAUGCUCAAAAGCCAGUUCACGGCAGAGCUGAGGAUUUUAGCAAAGUCAGCUUAUUACUGGCAUGUGUCAUCGAGACAUGUCUGUGCCUGCGGGUCAUAAGGACUUGAGAGAGAUGAACCAUUUGGAAUAGAGCUCAUUUCAAGGCAAUGUUUCCAAUGUUUGCGCUUUUUCUAUCCCCCAAAUGCUGAGAGAACUCUAGACGAGCAGUCCAGACGCUAAAUAGAUCAGUCCUCUGCUCUAUAGGGGUAGUGGGAGUCUAUAGUGUGGUCGGUAAGGGAGUGGACUGAUCACCUGAGUUCUGACGGCUUGGGCCAGUGUCACCUCAGGUCACACCAAGCAGAAGGUUCUCAGGAAUAUCAUGCAUGUACCAGAAAGAGAACCGAAAAUCUUGACGCCAGAAAGAAGGGCUUCUGGCCUGUGCAUCUGCCACCUGGAGCAGACCAAAUCCACAUCCUAAGACACAGGAAUCUCAGAGGACCAGGAUAGUCACCAAGUGCCAUGCCGCUGUCUGAGCAUCUCUUCUGAGGAAAAGCACUUGGCUGAGCUCUGCCCCCAUGGAACUGAUGCUGGCAAAACCAAGCGUCUGCCCAGCCAGAAUAACCACCACUUGGUGCUUUGGUGAGAAACCACAGUGAUGGCUGAAGGCUUGAGUAGCAUUUUUUUUUUUUUUUUAGACGGAGUCUCGCUCUGUCACCAGGCUGGAGCGCAGUGGUGCGAUCUCGGCUCACCGCAACCUCCGCCUCCCGGGUUCAAGCAAUUCUCCUGCCUCAGCCUCCCAAGUAGCUAGGACUACAGGCGCAUGCCACUGCGCCCAGCUAAUUUUUGUAUUUUUAGUAGAGACGAUGUUUCACCAUGUUGGCCAGGAUGGUCUCGAUCUCCUGACCUCAUGAUCCACCCACCUCGGCUACCCAAAGUGCCAAAGUGCCAGGAUUACAGGUGUGAGCCACCACGCCCAGCCAGCUUGAGCAGUUUUAAAUGACAAGCAUCCUUAAAAGAAGACCCUCAUUCUGUAUAUACUGGAUGUGAUGCUGUAUGUCAGAAAAUUACACACCAAAUUCCCUAAAACCCAGCAAAGAGAGAAAGAUCAUACUCUGAAGACCAUGUUUUAUUUUAACUGAUUAAAUAAAACUCUAUAUGGAGUAAGCCAA